AUUGAACGCUGGCGGAAUGCUUUACACAUGCAAGUCGAACGGUAGAGGGGGCAACCCCUCGAGAGUGGCGAACGGGUGAGUAAUAUAUCGGAACGUGCCCAGUCGUGGGGGAUAACGUAGCGAAAGUCACGCUAAUACCGCAUACGAUCUAAGGAUGAAAGCGGGGGAUCGCAAGACCUCGCGCGAUUGGAGCGGCCGAUAUCAGAUUAGGUAGUUGGUGGGGUAAAGGCUCACCAAGCCAACGAUCUGUAGCUGGUCUGAGAGGACGACCAGCCACACUGGAACUGAGACACGGUCCAGACUCCUACGGGAGGCAGCAGUGGGGAAUUUUGGACAAUGGACGCAAGUCUGAUCCAGCCAUUCCGCGUGCAGGAUGAAGGCCCUCGGGUUGUAACCUGCUUUUGUACGGAACGAAAAGGUCUCUCUUAAUACGGGGGGCUCAUGACGGUACCGUAAGAAUAAGCACCGGCUAACUACGUGCCAGCCGCCGCAGUAA
rnacentral:rRNA from 1 species